GACGAACGCUGGCGGCGUGCCUAAUACAUGCAAGUCGAGCGAACAGACCAUGAUCUUGUUCGUCUCACGUUAGCGGCACACGGGUGAGUAACAUGUGUAUAACCUACCUAUCUCAUGGGGAUACCUUCGGGACACCGGAGCGAACAGCGGAUAAUAUAUUGAACCGCGUGGUUCAAUAGUGAAAUACGGUUUUUCUGUCACUUAUAGAUGGUUCCGCGCCGUAUUAGCUAGUUGGUAAGGUAACCGCUUACCAAGGCAACGACGCGUAGGCGAGCUCCGAGGGGGGUCGGCGACACUAGAAGUGGAACACGCACCAGACUCCUACGAGACGGAGCAGUAGGGAAUGGUCCGCAAUGGGCGGAAGCAUGACGGAGCAAGCCGGCGUCGGUGAUGAAAAUCCUCGGAUCGUAAAGAUGGCUUACUAGUGAAGAACAAAUGUGUACGUAGAUAUGCACGUAUUGACGGUACCGGAUAAGAAAGCCCCGGCUAACUACGUG
rnacentral:rRNA from 1 species